rnacentral:lncRNA from 1 species
AGGAUAUUUAGCAGCUUAUUUAGGCAACUGCCAGAAUUCAGUUUGUUUGCUCGAAACUUGUAUGGUGACAAGGAUACUGGCAAGGAUAGUGAGAUAGUUUUUUGUGUGAGUGAAAUUUGAAAGCUUGGGUGUUCUGGGAUUUGCAAUUGCAAUCAUCCUCUGAGUCAGGUGAUUUCUUCUCCUGCUCUGUCUUGAUUUUCUCUCUAAUUGAAAGCAUAAAGUAUUUCAAUCAAAUUCUGUACCAGGAGUACAUAAAAGUUACUAAUAUUUUAUUUCCAUCUGUUUGCAUUGAUAACUCGGCAUAUGUUCUAGUUAAAGAACAAACAGAAACAGAGUUCAGGAAAAAGUUUCUUCGGCCACCAUAUUUGAAAAUGAAACCAUUUCCAGGAAGCAGUUGGCAGCAAAUUCAUAUGGAGUGUAGACAAUGAUGAGCAAAAAGGUGAUUCGCAAUUUCUUUUUUUUUUAAGUGAAAUUAUUUGUUAGAUUGAAGCUGAUAUUGUAAGAAGGCCAUUGAGCUAACCUAUGUCGUCACUUGCCUAGAUUGCAGGGGGUCAAGACUCAAAAGAAGCACUGAAAUUUAAAAAGCAUGGAAUAGUUCUUUUGCCAUGUGUCAAUUAAUGCAAGUUUGAAUAAGUUUAUUGGCUGAACGAUGUUAGCUUCUUUUCCUUUCGUGCACUUUGGUAUGCUAUCAAGUGACAGCCGUAUGUAUGGCUUGCAUAUAGCUGCUGCUGGGAAAAUUGACGAUUUCAUGGCUGGCCGUGUUAUUGUCUUAAAUUAGUUGUGAUAAGCUGUUGCUUGGAGAUUCUGUUGCCAAGACUUUGCUCACAUCAGAAGCUGUGGAAUCUGAACCCUUCGUUAUGUAUCAUCUUUUUCAUUGUUUUAAAACUCUCAGGAUUAAACUUGAGCGAAUUUGUUCGGUUGUCUAUAUAAUCAUGUAUUGAGUAAACUCUCAGGAUACUGAGGGUGAGAGAAAUUAGAGGGUGUAUAGGGAUUUGGAUUUGUUAGGAAGUUAUCAUUUUUAUUUUUAUUUUUAUUUUUUUCCCAGAAAAUCUUCUGGUGGUGCUAUAUUUUCAAACGACAGUCCGAUUCAAAACUUGAUAUUCCAAUUAUAUUCAUAAGCUUCUACAGUUAUCUUCAAAAAGACAAAUGGAAGGCUUUGAACGGCUUGGGUCUGAGUAUUGUAGUUUGAUUUAUUUUGAUGAAAGUACCUUUUGACAUUGAGAUUCUUUCAUGAGUUAAACAUUCUUUUUAAAACCAACUUAUUAAAAAAAAAAAGUAACUAACAUAUAUUAUUUUGUUAGUGCUUUUUAAAUCAAAUAUAAAAAAGAGAACUGUAAUUCUUAGCAACCAAUUUUUCACUGAGUACACCUACAACAAACUAUUAAAAAAUAAAGUGAUAGAAAAUGCCUGAUUUUUCGUACUUUCUAAUUACUUUUGGUCCUAAAAUAUGGCAAUUUGUGUAAUAAUAAGCCCAUGUAUAUCUUUAUGCCAUUAGUUUGAUAAAUAGCUAUCAAGGAUAACUUAUUAAGCUAAAAAUAUUUGAAGGAUAAAUUGAUUUAUGCAUCCAAAGAUACAUUAUAUAUUUCUGUGUCUCUAUUUAUAGAUGACAUUUAAGCAUCCAUAAACCGUCAGACAGAGGAAGGGGGUUCAGUGCAAAGAUUCUGUUGACCUAGGGUUGACUGCAUAAUGUCACUUGUUCGCAAUCUAUUAUUUAUUUUAUAUUUUGAAGAAUUUAAUGGGUAAUCCUAAUUGUUUGUUUUGGCAGGUAUGUGUUGUUAUCUCCUUCUAUCUAACAGUCGUACCUAAAUAGCAUAGUUUCAUCUGUGUUACCAUGUGAUGUACAUAAUUUCACAUUUGCCUCAGAUUAAGCUUAAUUUCCCACAGAAUAGAGCUGUCGUGACUGGACUUAGGUUGAUGUCCAAAGAGGUAAAUUAUUGGCAUGCCUAGAUAAUUUGGCCAUUUCCUAAUUCAUAAGUCUACAUUAAUUUUGAUUUUGAGUUGACUGAUUUCUUUUCAAGGUCUGCUUCCUUAACGGAGUGACCAAUGUUUUUCAACUAAAUUUAUCAUAUGAUGCAGGAAGCAGGGCAGGAUAUGAAAUGAGAUCUCAUUGGUGGAAGUAUUGCCAGUAGCAGAACCCAAUGAAAAUGAAACUAUUUCAAGGCAGCAGUUGGCAGUUGCAAGUGAAUGGAGGCCCUUGACAAAAUUCUCAAGCGGUUGCAAUGAUGGUAAUUUCUUCUCCUGCUUUGUAUUUAUUUGUUAUCUAAUUAGGAAGCGUGAAGUAUCUUGAAUCAUUUUCUGUAUCUGGAAUAUAUGCAAGAGUUUCUAAAAUUUUGAUAUGAGUGUAAUGAUGGUAAUUUCUGUUUUCUGUCUGUCAUCAAAUGUUAGAAAACUUUCAUUGAGACCCUUGAACCGAGUCAUUUUUGACAAGUGAAGGACAAUUGCUGAAGAGUGGGAAUGGUGCUAGAUUGGGGAAUAAAGACAAAGGAGGUAAAUUAUUUGCAGUUUAUUCAGCAUUAUUUGCUUUGGACCACCGCCUGAUUCACAAGUCUCCAUAAUUUGGCUUUUGACCAGUUAAUAAAUUUUUAAUUCCAUUGGUGCUAAAUGUACACGUGAAGCAGGCAGAGCAGGACUGUGGAAAUGAGAAGGUUUUUAGUGAAAGCUUAAACUCAGGUAAUUCUAAAAAGUACAUGUUUUUGCUGAUUUAUCUAAAUCAGGAAAUUUUAUUUCCAUCUGUUACAAGAUAAAACAGAAACAGAACACAAAGAAAAAUAUUCUACUUCUUGUGGCAAUCUUGCCUUCAUUCAGACAAUGAAACCAUUUCCUUUCACCAAUUUCUUCCAAAAGUUUGAAUAAGUUUCAUGGUUGGACAUAGUUAGCUUCUUUUUCUUUUUGGUGCAUUUAGGUCCUAUCAAGUGACAGCCAUAAGUAUGAUUGCAUUAUUGGGAAAUUUUAGGUUUGGAUGGCUCCCCAUGUUAUUGCCAAGAAAGUCCUCAUGUCAGAAGCUGCGGUUCUUUUCAUCAGCCUGAACCCGAACCUGUCGUUAUGGAUAACUCAGGUUUUUGUCAUCAACUAUAUCAUCUUUUUUACUGUUUUGAAACUCUUAAGAUUAAACUUCAGUAAAGUUGUUUCAGUUAUCCAUGUAAUCAGGCUAAGGAUAUUUAGCAGCUUAUUUAGGCAACUGCCAGAAUUCAGUUUGUUUGCUCGAAACUUGUAUGGUGACAAGGAUACUGGCAAGGAUAGUGAGAUAGUUUUUUGUGUGAGUGAAAUUUGAAAGCUUGGGUGUUCUGGGAUUUGCAAUUGCAAUCAUCCUCUGAGUCAGGUGAUUUCUUCUCCUGCUCUGUCUUGAUUUUCUCUCUAAUUGAAAGCAUAAAGUAUUUCAAUCAAAUUCUGUACCAGGAAUACGUAAAAGUUACUAAUAUUUUAUUUCCAUCUGUUUGCAUUGAUAACUCGGCGGCAUAUGUUCUAGUUAAAGAACAAACAGAAACAGAGUUCAGGAAAAAGUUUCUUCGGCCACCAUAUUUGAAAAUGAAACCAUUUCCAGGAAGCAGUUGGCAGCAAAUUCAUAUGGAGUGUAGACAAUGAUGAGCGAAAAGGUGAUACGCAAUUUCUUUUUUUUUUUUUUUAAGUGAAAUUAUUUGUUAGAUUGAAGCUGAUAUUGUAAGAAGGCCAUUGAGCUAACCUAUGUCGCCACUUGCCUAGAUUGCAGGGGGUCAAGACUCAAAAGAAGCACUGAAAUUUAAAAAAGCAUGCAAUAGUUCUUUUGCCAUGUGUCAAUUAAUGCAAGUUUGAAUAAGUUUAUUGGCUGAACGAUGUUAGCUUCUUUUCCUUUCGUGCACUUUGGUAUGCUAUCAAGUGACAGCCGUAUGUAUGGCUUGCGUAUAGCUGCUGCUGGGAAAAUUGACGAUUUCAUGGCUGGCCGUGUUAUUGUCUUAAAUUAGUUGUGAUAAGCUGUUGCUUGGAGAUUCUGUUGCCAAGACUUUGCUCACAUCAGAAGCUGUGGAAUCUGAACCCUUCGUUAUGUAUCAUCUUUUUCAUUGUUUUAAAACUCUCAGGAUUAAACUUGAGCGAAUUUGUUCGGUUGUCUAUAUAAUCAUGUAUUGAGUAACCUCUCAGGAUACUGAGCAGGCAAAUGUUAUAACUCGGUUUGUUAGCCAAAAACUUGUUGAAGAUUCUUGACAAAGCUGCAUCAAGUGAAUUGUCGGAGCUCUGAGGGUGAGAGAAAUUAGAGGGUGUAUAGGGAUUUGGAUUUGUUAGGAAGUUAUCAUUUUUAUUUUUAUUUUUAUUUUUUUCACAGAAAAUCUUCUGGUGGUGCUAUAUUUUCAAACGACAGUCCGAUUCAAAACUUGAUAUUCCAAUUAUAUUCAUAAGCUUCUACAGUUAUCUUCAAAAAGACAAAUGGAAGGCUUUGAACGGCUUGGGUCUGAG